rnacentral:lncRNA from 1 species
AAAAAACACAAGAAUCACUAACUACUUAUAAACAUAACUCACCAUGGUGUUCUUAUUUUCAAACCUUCAUUCCUUGAAGCUGUGGUUUUGUUCAUUCACAAUAUCACCAACAUCAUCAUCAUCAUCAUCAUCAUCAUCAUCAUCAUCAUCAUCAUCAUCAACUUCUCAAACUAGAUAAGCUGGUGCUUUGUUGAAGUGGAAAUCAAGUCUUGAAAACCAAAGCCAAACUUUGUUAUCUUCAUGGAGUGGCAAUAACUUGUUGUGAAUUCGGAUCGAACACCACACCAAUACUACUUUUGAUGUGUGGGACAAAUGAAUUGAAGCAACCAAAAUAAAAUGGAUGAGCAAUAAUCAAUAAAUCAACAAAAGCUAGAACUACAAAAAGAUGAUAAAAGACACGAUGAAAAUUGUUUACCCAGUUCAGUCAAAACCGACCUACUCUGGGG